UACAUAUACAAAUAUAUAUAUAUAUAUAUAUUUCUCAUAAAUAUAUAUGUACAAGUGAAAAAUACAUAUUUCAAUUGGUAAAAUAUUACAACUUUUGAGAUAAAGUUAUAAUUUUAAAAAAAUAUUUUAAAAAAAUAUUGCUAUUUAUUGCUUAAGAUGCCAUUGUUUUUUUCCAGUUUUUCAAAGCUUAAUAGGUUUAGGAUUCCAAGUUCUCCUCUGCGUCGUCAUUGCUACUUCUCUGCACAUACACUGUAAGUACUUCCCCCCAUUAUCUUGUUGCUGUGCUUUUUUACGUAUAUAAUUUUGGGGUUGGGGGGCGGGUUUGGAAGCUAUUGUAGUUUUUUUGUACUGUUUUGACACUCUGUAUGAGUAAUCUUGAUUUGCUCUUCCACUGCACAUACACUGUAAGUACUUUCCCCGAUUUUCUUGCUGUGCUUUUUAUGUAUAUAAUUUUGGGGUUGGGUGGUGGGUGUGGAAGCUAUCGUAGUUUUUUGGUACUGUUUUGACACCGUGUAUGAGUAAUCUUGAUUUGGUUUGCUCGGAUAAAUGCUACUUCCCCCCAUUAUCUUGCUGUGCUUUUUGGUACUGUUGAGUAAUCUUGAUUUGGUUUGCUCUGAUGAAUGCUACUUUCCCCCAUUAUCUCAGACUUCGGCUUCUUAGUGUGGUCAAGUGGUAAGUCCUUUCUUUUCUGUCUGAGAAUAUGUCUUCUCUUCCGAGGUGGCAUGAGACAAUCAGUGAGUUUCAGGUGGCUUUAGUCUUUGUGAUUGUUCCUGAUGUGGAUCGAGUCUCUGGUAGUUCUAGGUGGCUAGAGACCAGCGCUAACAGUCCUAUUUCGAAUUCUAAAGUACACGAACAUCUUUGACAUGAGGUACGUAGUCGCUAGAAGAGGACGCUUUCAAUCUUUUUUCAUGAAAUCCAGACAGCAGGGAUAGAGUCCAAGCGUACCUUUUUUGUGUAUAUAAUUUUGGGGUGCGGAGAAAUUUCAGCUAUUAGUUUUUUUUGUUCCUACACUAGGAAAGUUGUGUAUGAGUAAUCUUGAUUUGAUUUGCUAUGAUAAAUGCUACUUCCCCAUUAUCUUGUGCUUUUUUAUGUCUAUAAUUUUGGGGUGUGGAGAAAGCUGCGUGGAAGCUCAGAGUUUUAUUUUGUUUUGCCUAGUAUAUUGUAUAGUUUAUUUUAGUUUUUUUUUUGUAGUACUGUUUUGAAUCUGAUUAUUGAUUUGAUUUUGCUCUUUCCGGGUGAGAAAUGGUUGUGUUCCAGUUGUGCGUGAAUCAGAAUUUUUGUCAUCGAACGUUUUGGGGGGUUUUUCUUGUUUUUUGAAACCUGCAGUGUAUCUGUUGAUUCUAUUUGUUGAUCGAAUCUCUGGUAUUCACUCUUUGAAAGAACAAUAUGUGACUUUGGAUGAUUUCUCGUCUAGAACUAGAGAUAACAAAAGAAUUACUGUGAAAAGCACAUUGGCCUAUAAGAUAGUAGAUCCGUAUUCAGCCUCCUAUGCCGUUGCAAAUAUUCACUACACUCUGCAGAAGACUGUGCUUGACCUGUUAGCACGACAGGUAUCAAGGUUAUGUUUCAUGGAACUUAUUUCUGAAAGGCCCAUUAUAAGAGUCUUUGUUGAGGUAUUAAUUUUAUCUUGCAAAACACAGUAUUCUGCAAAGUGUGUUGAACAUUUUCAACGGAAUAGGAGGCUGAAUACAGAUCUACUAUCUUAUAGGCCAACGUGCUUUUCACAGUAAUUCUUUUGUUAUCGUCUAGUUCGAGACGAGAAAUCAUCCAAAGUCACGUAUUGUUCUUUCAAAGAGUGAAUACCAGAGAUUCGAUCAACAAAUGGAAUCAACAGAUACACUCCAGGUUUCAAAAAGCGAGAAAAAGUAUACAAAUCAUCCGAUUUGAAAUACGUGUGUUUUGGAAUCGAUUGCUGCUGUGAAGGAUUCUGCUGAGUCCGCCUCACUCUCAAAAAUCAGAUCAGGAAUGAGAAGUCUACUUUCAUUGGCUUAUAUCUUUUAUGAGCAUGUCUUGAGUGUUAAUGGAGGAGGUGGAGCUUUGACUCCAGGCAGUGAAAGUUUGUCUGGCACUGGAGGCUUGAGUGUUAAUGGAGGCGGCAGUGGGAAUGGAACUUUGUAACUAGUGGAAAUGGAGCUUUGACUCCAGGCAGUGGAACUUUGUCGGGCACGCACCAGGCAGUGGAACUUUGUCUGGCACUGGAGGCUUGGGUAUUAAUGGAGGAGGCAGUGGGAAUGGAACUUUGUCUGUAACUAGUGGAAAUGGAGCUUUGACUCCAGGCAGUGCAACUUUGUCUGGCACUGGAGGCUUGAGUCUGUAAUUAGUGGAGCUUUGACUUCAGGCAGUGGAACUUUGUCUGGCACUGGUGGCUUGAGUGUUAAUGGAGGAUGCAGUGGGAAUGGAACUUUGUCUGUAACUAGUGACUUUUGUUUGAGCUAAGCAAGUUGUUUAGUAGAUGCUCUCUUGGACGCAUUGCUGGAAGUAUUUGAAUUUACAUUUUUAGUCUUUUUAUUCGUCAUGUACGGAGAAACAUCAAUGAGUGUGAGACAUGUUAGUCAUUGUUUAGUAUGCCCAAGCUUGACCAUAGCUGUGGAUAUUUUGAGUCCCUCGGAACAGUGUUUUCUUUUGUUCAAUUGUUAUGCGGAUAUGUCCAAAUAACUAUCUUGCAGAUCUUACGCCUGA